AGCUGUUUCAGUCUGUUGCAUUAGCAGUGGUUGGCUUAAAGGACAGCGCUGACAUUAGCCAGCAACGGGACAUGAUCCUUCUCUCAACAGACCAUUCACUGAUGAUGACAUCACGCUGCUGUUUUUCUCUUCGAUCCCUGGAGAUGUGAUAAACGCUAGCAUGUGCUGGCUGUGUGCUUGUUACCAAUGCUGGCUUGCACCUGAGAGGCCCUCAACAAAGGAAAGCAAUCUUCAGCAAGUGGAGGAGAGGGCACAUGCUGAUCACCAUGGAGAGACGCUGAAGGAAGAAGGGGAGAAAGAGGUAAUAGAUUAAAAAGAUAGAAAUAUUGCUUUUUCUUUUAUAUGAAAAAAGAUGGGUAAGGGUAUAGGUAAAUGGAAAUGCAAAUAGCUUCCAGCAGGAAAAUAAAGAUUAAAUUAAUUAAAACAGUGGCUGAUUGACUAGACAAAGUAUCUUGUUCUGUACAGAAGCUGCUUUUAUCCACCUCUCGUUACACCUCUUUGUUCAAUCACAGCUCUUCUGCACCUCUAUAAAAACAACAGAUGGCUAUGUAAAGAAGGUGAUCUGAUCCAUCUACAUCUCAGCAAUUCAUUUGAGGAGUAUUAUCAAAGCUGAUAAUUUUGUAUUUGCAUCUUUACUAAAGGAGCACUGUUCUGUACUGCCUUAUCUUUGAUUAUCUCCAAUUCUAGCAUAUUUUUAAGACAAUACUAUAAUUACAGUUUUUCAACUGUAAUUGUUUUCCCCAAAACAAGCAUAUAGAAGAGGUUUAAGUAGUUUUUUUCAACCAUGUCUUUCUCUGUGUAAGGCCCCAGCUUGCUCCAACAAUCUGAUUCCAAAUGUCUGGUCUUCCCUGCACUUAUGUCAGACUUGCUCUCAUGAACUGUACAGGUUUAUACGCAUGACAUCUGGAGUGCCAAGGGGAAGGCACAAUCUGAAUAUAGCUUAGUUUAUUUUGAGAAUAUCUAUUCUUACCAACGUUGGUGGCUUGGCCCUUGGAUAGCAACAUAGACCCCAUGAAGACCUUGCAUUAAAAUGCGUUUUGGGUGAUAAGAUUGCAAUCGGAUAGAGUUUGUUCACCUCAAAGUACAGGUCUAAAUGCACCCAAGACACAAUCAAAAGAUUGAGUACAGUAAGUAUUUUUGGUGAACGUGAACUAAUGCACUGUUGAUUUAAACUCAAUAUAAACUUCUAAAAUAACAGAGAAGUACACAUUAUGAAGAAAGGUAGCACAAGGAAACGGUGCCAGGCAGAACUUACACCAGUCAAACAUAACAUUAUGACCACCUGGCUUGAUGAUCAGUAUAACAACCUCUUUUUGUUGACUCUCUCUGCUUUGUUCUCAGCUCUGAGGCUUGAUUAACCAGCCCUGGGUCAUAUUUCUAUAAAGACAUGUACAGUGUACCAGCAUACAUUCUAUGUAAAUUUACAUUUAUUCCUACACCAAUGUUUCCAUGUAACAUAAUUUCACCUAUUUUGAAUAAUUUCAAAUUUCAAAUACCAAGCCAACUUUUAUAACUUUUGUAUGGUAAACAUAACUAAAGCCUUUCGUUCAUCAGUCAUCAGUCUCACGGUACUAGUGAUGUGAAGGAGUUGGCUUCUUACAGUGAACAAUGGGAGCUGGCUCCUGUCUGAGAGCCGAUUUCUUUUUUGAUUUUUUUUCUAAUAAAUGAAUACAAAAUAGAAUAUUAGGAUGAUCAGUCUUACUUGUUGGUGGCCAACAGAUAUUCUUUUUUGAAAUGAGAAAACCAAAAUUGGAAAAACAGCCCAGACAGUUUCCCGACUAGCAUUUACACAGAUCACCCUGGUGGUCAUAAUGUUCUGCAGCCCCAUACCAACAAACUGUGAUGCACUGUUUGUUCUGACACCUUUCUAUCAGAACCAGCAUUUACUUUUUCAACAUUUUGAGCUACAGUAGCUCGUCUGUUGGAUCGGACAGGGCAGCCUUGGCUCCCUGUGUGCAUCAGUGAGCCUUGACGCUGUCAUUCACCGCCUUUUCCUUCCUUGGAGCACUUUUGAUAGAUACUGACCACUGCAGACCAGGAACACUCCACAAGAGCUGCAGUGGAGAUGCUCUGAUCUUUGCUAUAUUUAAAAGUACUAAUAUUGACUUUGAUCAUACUCUGAUGAUGCUCAUACUUGUAGAAAGUACAUUAUCUGUAUCGGAUACUUGCGAAGUUGCUCAACCCUAAUAGCUAUAGAGCAUAACACCAGUGCGGACACAUGGCAUCUCCGCAAAGAAAAAUAAAGAAAAUUAAAAACAAAUACAUAAUACAGACAGAAUUGUAUAAAAAGUUGCUAAAAUAUCCGUCAAACUCAUCGCUGAUUCAAUAUUCACAGGAAACAAUCUGCCCAUAAUUCAUUUAAAUCACUGGUUCUACGCAAACUACACUAAACUGCAGUGUUCACUGUUUGGGUUCAUUAUGCAGUUUAUCAGUUGUUCUCUACUGUUAUUUUUUUUGCAUUGAAUAUAAUAUGAAAUACUGAUAAAAUAUGUCACUUACUCAGUUUACUAAAUGAUAGAAACCUUAAGGAAUACGGUCAGAGUUACAAGAUCAAGAUCUUGACAUUGCUACUGGUCAGUGACUGAGGUCUGAUAGUCCUUGUUUGGCCAGUGGCUCAGCACCCUUGCAUACUUGAUGUGAAAACAGUGAGUACUUCAAACCCACGAUGUCCUCAAUGAAGAUUGCACCCUUGUAAAAGAGUAUUUAAAAAAAAAAAAACUUUUGAAUCUUUAAAUACAGCUAGUCAGUGCCAGAUGCUGCUGCUCACUUGAAGAGGAACAAGGGUUGUGCAUAUUCCUAUAAACCUCAUCUCCUUUGUUCUUAUUUACAUCCUAUUUCCUUGGCUGUUCUAUCCUGUUUCCCAUAGCUUGCUGUGGCAGCCCAUUUUGCCCUGCAAGCAUCAAUAUACAGUACUUCCACCAAAUCUAAUCAAAUCUAAUCAAAUCAAAUUGCAGUGACACUCUGGGUUUUUCCUGCUAACAGCAUGAUAAAUUAUUCACUGUGGUUGGGCUUCUCUGUUUAUUUUCACAGGUAAAAAACUGCACUAACUGUAAUCAAUAAAGAAGCCAUUUAAUUG